AGCCCCGUGGUGUAAUGGCUAGCAUGAGGGACUCUGGAUCCCUAGGCACCAGUUCGACUCUGGUCGGGGCUA
rnacentral:tRNA from 1 species